AUAGGCGGGACUAACAGAGAGGAGAAAGGAGGGAACAGGGAAGACAGAGGGAGACACUGCCAGCCACCGCCAUGACAAGAAGCAUGUGAAGAUGGUAAGCCACGAGCCACAUGGCAAGACAAAAACAACCCCUGUGAGGACUUCAUCUGCAACUGUGACCACCAGGCUGCCAUCUGCUUCUACAACACUCCAUACACCAAGCAUUACAAAAGCAUUCAGUGUUCGACUUGUCACCUCAGUGACUGGCACACCUUCCCUGCCUGCCUGGUUCUGUUUACUACACACUGUGCCCUCUGUAAAGCACCAUAGAAAGAACUCGGCUUUGCUAAUUGGAUUCUCUGUCCACCUGCUGGGGAUCAGCCUCAGCCGUUUCAAGAGUCUCGAAGGGCAGGGAUGUCUGGCAGGUGCAAGACAAGCCUGGGACAUACAAGUUGGUGCAGCUGACGAGUCUCGUCCGAUCUGGAGAUUUGUGCAUCUUCUCCACUUUCUCUCGAUCUGACUCAACCCCAAUCUUUUAUUGUAAUAAUACAAGGAAAUAGGGGAUGAUAAAAUUCAACAGGUGUUUGGGUUCUUUACAAUAGUUUCAAAAGUUCUUUUUGUAAAUCAGCAAAGUGUACCCUGUGCCCCUUGAUUGCACAUAGAAGUUCCCAGGAAGAGAGCCAAAGCAUACCAGCUUAUCCUUUUACAGGUUAAUAAUUAUCAGAACAUCUGAGGCAAUCACCCCAGAGGCCAUCUACUUGCAGUUUCUCAGAAAGAACAGAAUACAAGCAAUGGUUUGAGGUACCAGACUGUCAGCUUCCUCUCAGCCUAAGUCCUUCUUCAUCAGUCUGUAAUUCAUCAAGUUGUCUUCUAACUAGUUCUGGGUAACUCUUGUCUUCUAUCCUAUCUAAAUGUCACUCCAUCUACAGUUUUCUCCCACCAGCCUUCGGGGUUUUCCCCAUGACCUGCCUAACAGCUUUAACUCCUGCCAUUGUCACAAUCUCAGAAUCAUUUCAUAGAAACCACCGCAGGAGAGAGGAAGAAAAUCAUAAAGAGCAAAUAGAGUAGGAAACCAAACUGGACAGAGAGUAAAUGACCUGAAUGCAGGAUCACAUCCUGUUGACCUUCCAGUCCUCACUGUGCCUAAACACACACCACAGGAUAGUUGUCCCUCUAAAGUACACAGCAGGAUAACUUUUUAAACAAACAAAAUAGAACACAUCAUCUUCUCUAACUUUCUCUAUCAUGGGACCCCAUAGGUAAAGUCAGGUUAAUCUCUGGUUUCCUGGUCAACCAGAUUUAGGAAAAAGAUUUCUCAUUGGUUAAAGGCUGUGUGGUCUCAGUCUCUUUUUUCCUUUAGUGAACAGCUGCCCAGUCCUCUGCCCUUCCACCCCUAACCCCAUCUGCACUCAUGUCCAAAUGUCAGGCCUGACCCCUCCCAAGGUCAGUUCUGGUGAGCAAUAGGUGCAGCUAGAGCCACCUGGGCAGGCGCAGUGACCUGUCGUAGCUGGUAGUGACUGUCCAGAGUCCUGCUGGAGGAUCAGAGAUCUUGAGCGAGGAGACAAGCAACUCAAAUCAUCACCUAGUGGUUGUUAUCCAGCACUGAUUCAGGCUCUGUCACCAUCUACAGCAGCUCUGCAGGUCGGGACUGUGUGUGAGGGUGCACAUAUUCUACUUCUGUGCUACACACACAGUAGUCACAGGCCCCGUGUGCUGACUGGACACUGUCAGAGCACAGCUACAGGACUAUAAAGAGAAGUCACUUGAGUCCUCCUCUCGCUCAGGAUGAAACUCUUCUGCUGGUUUCUCUGCUCACAGGUGCUACUGCACAGAGCAUCAGCCCUCAGGCUGUGUGGCAGUUGGGCAAUGUGUUCGAUUGCAACAUUCCCGAUACUGGUACAGUCUUAGAGUACAGAUUCUAUGGCUGCUACUGUGGCUUGUGAGAUUGGCGAUUCAGAUGAAGACUUAGACAGUUGCUGCAGGACUCGUGACAACUGCCUUGCUCAGGUCGAUAACUGGAAAACUGUGCAUUCCUCAUAAGGAACCCUUACACCAGCUCCUACUCAUUCUCAUGUUCUGGGAAUGAGGUCACCUGCAGUG